rnacentral:rRNA from 1 species
UACGUAGGGGGCAAGCGUUGUCCGGAAUCAUUGGGCGUAAAGCGCGUGUAGGCGGCUCGAUAGGUCCGUUGUGAAAACUCGAGGCUCAACCUCGAGACGUCGAUGGAAACCAUCUGGCUAGAGUCCGGAAGAGGAGAGUGGAAUUCCUGGUGUAGCGGUGAAAUGCGCAGAUAUCAGGAAGAACACCCGUGGCGAAGGCGGCUCUCUGGUACGUGACUGACGCUGAGACGCGAAAGCGUGGGGAGCAAACAGG